CGAGAAGACUGGACGGCCGUUCCGGGGGCCCUUGGGCUCCUCGGGGAGGAAAGUCCGGGCUCCUCGGGUCAGGGUGGUUGCUAACGGCAACCGGCCGUGAGGCCAGGGAAAGUGCCACAGAAAAGAUACCGCCCCCCGCCUCGUGCGUGGGGUAAGGGUGAAAUGGUGCGGUAAGAGCGCACCGCAGCCCUGGUGACAGGGCUGGCAGGGCAAACCCCACCCGGAGAAAGAUCAAGUAGGGAAGGAUUGGCGAUGACCCGCGCUUUGCCUUCCGGGUAGGUCGUUUGAGGCCGGCGGCGACGCCGGUCCCAGAGAAAUGGUCGUCAGCCGCUUCGCAAGGAGCGGACACAGGAUCCGGCUUACAGGUCUUCUCGCGUC
rnacentral:RNase_P_RNA from 1 species